rnacentral:rRNA from 1 species
GGCCACGGCCAUACCAGCCUGAUCACACCCCCUCUCUGAUCUCAGAGGCUUUGCAGCCUAGGCCUGUCAGCACAUGGAUGGGAGACCACCUGGGAAUAUCAGGUGCUGUAGACU